rnacentral:rRNA from 1 species
AGCGAACGUUAGCGGCAGGCUUAACACAUGCAAGUCGAGCGACAAAGGGGCUUCGGCCCUGAGUAGAGCGGCGGACGGGUGCGUAACACGUGGAUAAUCUGCCUCGUGGCGGGGGAUAACAGUCCGAAAGGACUGCUAAUACCGCAUGUCAGGUGGAAACCCCGGUUUCUGACGAAAAAGAGGGCGCCCGCAAGGGGCUCUCACCACGAGAUGAGUCCGCGGCCCAUCAGCUAGUUGGCGGUGUAAUAGACCACCAAGGCUAAGACGGGUAGCUGGUCUGAGAGGAUGACCAGCCACACUGGGACUGAGACACGGCCCAGACUCCUACGGGAGGCAGCAGUGGGGAAUAUUGGACAAUGGGCGAAAGCCUGAUCCAGCCAUGCCGCGUGAGUGAUGAAGGUCUUCGGAUCGUAAAGCUCUGUGGGAAGGGACGAAAAAGCCUAACCUAAUACGUUAGGUCUUGACGGUACCUUCUUAGCAAGCACCGGCUAACUCCGUGCCAGCAGCCGCGGUAAU